rnacentral:rRNA from 1 species
UACGUAGGGCGCAAGCGUUAUCCGGAAUUAUUGGGAGUAAAGAGCUCGUAGGCGGUUUGUCGCGUCUGCCGUGAAAGUCCGGGGCUCAACUCCGGAUCUGCGGUGGGUACGGGCAGACUAGAGUGAUGUAGGGGAGACUGGAAUUCCUGGUGUAGCGGUGAAAUGCGCAGAUAUCAGGAGGAGCACCGAUGGCGAAGGCAGGUCUCUGGGCAUUAACUGACGCUGAGGAGCGAAAGCAUGGGGAGCGAACAGG